rnacentral:rRNA from 1 species
UCGGGAAUUUUGGGCAAUGGGCGAAAGCCUGACCCAGCAACGCCGCGUGAAGGAUGAAGUAUUUCGGUAUGUAAACUUCGAAAGAAUAGGAAGAAUAAAUGACGGUACUAUUUAUAAGGUCCGGCUAACUACGUGCCAGCAGCCGCGGUAAUACGUAGGGACCAAGCGUUGUUCGGAUUUACUGGGCGUAAAGGGCGCGUAGGCGGCAAUUCAAGUCAUCUGUGAAAUCUCCGGGCUUAACUCGGAACGGUCAGAUGAUACUGCUUUGCUAGAGUGCAGAAGGGGCAAUCGGAAUUCUUGGUGUAGCGGUGAAAUGCGUAGAUAUCAAGAGGAACACCUGAGGUGAAGACGGGUUGCUGGGCUGAUACUGACGCUGAGGCGCGAAAGCUAGGGUAGCAAACGGGAUUAGAUACCCCAGUAGUCCCUGAGCGGGCUGGCAAGGCGCAU